GGGGAUAGAGCUCCGUUGGUAGAGCAUUCGCUUAGCAUGCGAAAGGUCUGGGGAUCAAAACCCCAUGUCUCCA
rfam:Selaginella moellendorffii unplaced genomic scaffold SELMOscaffold_18, whole genome shotgun sequence.